rnacentral:rRNA from 1 species
GACGAACGCUGGCGGCGUGCUUAACACAUGCAAGUCGAGCGAGGCCCUCCUUCGGGAGGUGUCCUAGCGGCGAACGGGUGAGUAACAUGUGGGCAACCUGCCCUCAGCUCUGGGAUAACCCCAAGAAAUUGGGGCUAAUACCGGAUACGACCGCUGACCGCAUGGUCUGGUGGUGGAAAGAUUUAUCGGCUGAGGAUGGGCCCGCGGCCUAUCAGCUGGUUGGUGGGGUAGUGGCCUACCAAGGCGACGACGGGUAGCCGGCCUGAGAGGGUGACCGGCCACACUGGGACUGAGACAAGGCCCAGACUCCUACGGGAGGCAGCAGUGGGGAAUAUUGCGCAAUGGGCGGAAGCCUGACGCAGCGACGCCGCGUGGGGGAUGACGGCCUUCGGGUUGUAAACCUCUUUCAGCAGGGACGAAGCGAAAGUGACGGUACCUGCAGAAGAAGCACCGGCCAACUACGUGCCAGCCGCCGCCGUAACAC